CCCCUUCCUGAACUUUGCCUCCUGGAUCUUGAGGUCUGCCUUCUGUGGAAGAGAAAUACUAGAAUCAAUGAACUGUGAACUAGAGCCCUGGGAUUAUCAACAGCCAGCUGAAAUUUUGAGAGCCACCUUAUAGAAAGCCUAACAGCAAAGACUGGAGAGAGGCUUCCAGCCAACAGCCAGCAAGGAAUUGAAGCCCUCAGUCCAAUAGCAGUGAGGAAUUGAAUCCUGCCAACAGCCUCGUGGAUGGGUUGCUUGCUGCCUGAAUCUAACUCCUGCUACUACUGCAAAUACCACUGCCAUGAAUAUCCUCAGCAAGACCCCCUUCCAGACCUGCAUGAACAGUUGUGUGAAAUACCGACUGCUUCAUGCUGGGCUUCAGACAUGAGAGGCUAGGAGUAGGAGGCAUGCCUUGUUCAAAGGUCUUAAAUGUGGGAAAUAGUCUACAGUUUGGAAGACACCAGAGAAAAAUGCUCCACAGCUCGCCCUGGUGACUCACUACAACUUAUGGGAAGAUGUGAGAUUAUUCUGUAUUCUAAUGUAUGUUAGAAGGCACACUCCACCCAAAGCCUUCCUGUGUGUUCCUCCCUGUGAGCUCACAUCCCGUUCACCAGCUGACUGGGAAGGGAAGUCAGGACCAGCCCUGACCCCAUCACACCAUCAUAACCUCGGGAUGGCAGGGCUGGAAGGCACCUCAGACGUCAUCCUUUGCAGACUCUUCAUUUUACAGUGAGAGGCAUGACGUGUCCACAGCUGGUUAGUGCCAAAGCCUGGGACAGGCUUCACAUUGUCCAGCUCUUAGUCAGAGCACUGUUGACAAUGUCUGCCUUCACUUGGAAUUCAGCACCUGCUUUCAGUAUAAACCCCUGCAUUUCACUAAAACUGAGCAGACUGCUGGUUUAAAAAAGAGAGGUCCAUCCAGCAGGGAUGAUGCUUUUCCUCGUUGAAAGAGGACAUUCACCUAAUGGGAGACCUGGAGUCAGAAUCUUUCUGAUGUGUGACUUGGCACAGUAACACAAUGCAGGAUGCUGGUGUGUUAAUAAAAAUAAAAAUUGCAUCGCCUACCUCAGAGUCGACAACAAUGUCAAGGAGUUAAUAGUCUUGGCAACACAGAGGCCACUGGACAGAGGCAUAACCUUGCGUGGCAGCUGCACGGGAAUUGGAUUUGGCUCAGGUGUUUCAGAUGACUAAGAACAAAGGGGACCACUCUUGGUAUAGAAGUUCAUCUCGUCGGGAGCAUCUGUGGUUCUUUUAUAAGCAAUGUACAUUCUACAAUAGAGGCAGACCCAGAAAUAAUUCAGAUAUUGGAGUUAGAAGAUCAGGAUUCUAAAAAAACCAAAAGAUCCUGCCUUACUAUGCACCUAUGGCCCUUCAAAGGCGAGAGUAGAAUCUGCUAUGAUUUAGAAGCAAGCAAUAAAAAGUACACAUCAGGGUGCCUAGAGACUUCACCUCUAUUUCCAUGAGGGACUGAACAGCCUCUUGAGAAGGGACUCAUCAAAAUGGAAGAGUUGGCAAUAAGAAGUUUGGCUAAAUAACCAAGCACUGAAGUUGCAGAGGAGAAAGGAUUUGAAAGGCAGUACAGUGUCCAGGGGCAAGUUGGCAAUUUUUAGCAGGAGGUGAAGUGAUGCCAGCAGAGGUAACAGUGCUCAGAGGGACCAGUAGUCCCCAGGAGGAGCAGGGGAAUCCCCAGUGGAUCUGAUUUGUUCAAGAGCACAUGUGAGAUUAUCAGCUGGCGUUACAAUUUUGGAGUGGCAGUGAGAAGCAGUGAAUUUGAGGUCACUCAAUUUGCAGACCCCAAAGGGUGAAAUGUUGAGAAACAUGAGUUACACAUGUAUUUAACAGCUCUUGUGUAUUAUCACAAAUCCUAUUUCACCUCUCAUGCCCCCGAGGCUUUGGUGUCCAGUUCUCUGAAGACUUCAUCAAUCCUCAGCCAUAAAUCACCUGAGAGCAACUCACCUUGCUUCAUACUAUGAAGCUCCCUGAUGUCACAGCAUGGCAGGCCUGUGGCAACCCCUCAACACUUAUGCAUGAUCCCAAACAGCUAGAGGAUUAACACCUACGGUGUAACCCUUGACCAGCAGGAAAUGGAAAUUACUGUCUUUUUGUCCCCGCAGGUGAAUGGUUCUAAAAUGCAUUUUAUAAGCCUUCUGAAAUAGUCCCACAGGUCAAGCACCUACUUGCUCCAGUGGUGACCAACUCAAUGAUGCAUCCUUGGGUUGACUCUCCCUCCUUUCCAGUUCACUUUCCCCGCCCCUCACUCCUGCACCUCAGCAUCACAUUCCUGAAUAAACCACUCACACAUCUGUCUUAUUUCAGACUCUGUUUGGGGGAAUCCACAAUAAAAAUUUGUCAUUUUGAGUUAAACAUUGCUCUCACCUUGAAGACAUAUUUCCAUACCUAGAGAUUUCUGAAGUUCUCUCCCUUUUCCUAUCAUCUCCUUUGUGCUUUGUCUGACCUCCAUGUUACAGAGCCCCAUGAUAUUUAGAGCCAGUACUGCUAGGGAAGUAGUUCAGUUGUGUUUUAAAUGGUUCAGCAACUUGUAACAUCAACUGAGAACCAGAGGAAUACACUUGGAGGCCAAGAAAAAAAUGUUAGCUAAUAUGUACCAUACAGUAUGAUUCCUUGGGUAAGGGAAAGUAUAUGCAAGUGACAGAGGAAAAUUGAAAGUUGUAGCCCUUUUUUGGACUUUAGAUUUGGAAUUAAAGUUUCUCUUCUCUUGAAAGACCUUCUUUUUGUGGAUAAUGAUGAAUCUGAAGACCAGAACAGUGGGCCAAUUUGCCUUAGUUGAGAGUGGCAAAUAAAUGAAGAACUGAAGAACGUAUCUCUUUAACUAGUGCUCCUUUGUUGAGAAGAUACAAAACAAACAAUUGAAGGGUAUGGAUGAAGCCAUUGGCUUAUUCAUGUCUCUGUUGAUCAUAAUGAGAUUAAUAUAUAUAGGACAUUCACACAAAGAGGAUAUUGACUCGAUGGCUUACAGAUUAUUAGAGUUAGAAAUGUGACCUACUACUAAAGGAAGAAUGUUUCAGGUGUGGAUCUCUGAUUUAAAAAAUACACCACACUUGCCUCAGUGAAGCAAGUCAACUUAGGUGCUGAUACAAUGCCACUGCAGCUGUGCUGAGUUCAUGAAAUCAGAUCCCACUCUCUUCACCUACCCCUACCGUAUUCAUCCUACUUUCCGUCUGCUCUGCCCUUCCCAUUUGGUAACCUAGUCAUGAAACACCUGGCUCUGGGUCCUUCCUUCAGCAUCACUCCACGUUGUACUGCUGGCAUCGCUUUUCUUGGCACAGAACCUCUUAGGGCUGCUAUCCUAGGAGUAGGUGCUACUCAGGCUGGCUUAGUCCCAGGCUUCACUCACUUCUUGGCCCAUGGCCAGGAGGACCGGAAAGAACAAACUCUCUGCACAUCUCUGCAGGUGGCCACAGAGCCCCCAUCUGAGCCUUGCUGAUGGAGAAGAGCAUGCUGCAUCACAAGAUAACUGUGUGGCUCUGUUCAAAAACCUUGUUUAGAAGUUAUUAUUUCUUUUAUUGCAUUAGAAUUUGCCUCACUGUAGCUUUUGUGCUUCUGUCCUGGUUCAGCCUUAGAUAGCAGUGCAGCCUGGUCCAUGUGAAAGCUCUUGCAAUAGGCCUUUCUGCUAGUCAGGAGUUCUCAGACCCAUCCCUACUCUUCACUUUUCUCAAGACUAAUAUCAGACUCCUGGGCUCUUCAAGGUUUCCUCAUAUGAUAAAAGUUCUAAGCCCUCCAUUGUCCUAGUCACUGUCCUCUCUGUUCCAUCCCUGUCUGCCCUUCCAAGAUGCUGCACCUGGAGAUGAAUUUGUCCUUCCUGGGGCAAGUCACCAUGAGAUGAUUACUUUUGGAUCAUACUGAAUUUGUGGGUUAAAUAAACUCAUAGGUCUUUAUCUCAUGCACUAAAUCCAAAUUCGAUCUCUUGCCGUAAAUCAUUUUUUUGAAUAGCUGAACAAUAAGUAAAUAAUACACAAAUGAAAACUAAUCAAUAUUUGAACAUCCUCAGUAUUUUCAGCCCUAGUUUGAGCCAGACAUAGCUCAUCUUGUAUACUUCACUAAGGACACUUUAUACGAUCAAGCAAUUAAUAUUAUGAUGUCAUGUCUCGCAAGCCCCAUAGUGUCACUUCCAGUCUCUUCACCACAAAGAACGUUGAAGCCUUCGUAUUUUUUUGAAAAUCAUAUUUCUAGCUGCAGGAUGGGAUGUAAGAAAAGUUCAGAUUAGGAUUAUUCUAGGCUCCUGACUAUAACUAAAAUCCUGAUUUUUUAUGGAAAGGAAUGAGGAUCAUUCCUUCAAAUUAGAUUUUUGUGAUAAAAAGAAAAAAGUUGGUAAUCUAUUCAAAAUUGUAACAAAAAUAACUGCAUUUUUCUUUGGAAAAUAAUAGUUGAUUCCUUUUUGCUUUUUUUACUUAUGAAUUGGGGUGCAAUAGAGUUUAAUAAAAAUGA
ensembl:lncRNA TESHL testicular germ cell expressed HSF2 interacting lncRNA